CGAACGCUGGCGGCGCGCCUAACACAUGCAAGUCGAACGAGCGAGAGAGAGCUUGCUUUCUCGAGCGAGUGGCGAACGGGUGAGUAACGCGUGAGGAACCUGCCUCAAAGAGGGGGACAACAGUUGGAAACGACUGCUAAUACCGCAUAAGCCCACGACCCGGCAUCGGGUAGAGGGAAAAGGAGCAAUCCGCUUUGAGAUGGCCUCGCGUCCGAUUAGCUAGUUGGUGAGGUAACGGCCCACCAAGGCGACGAUCGGUAGCCGGACUGAGAGGUUGAACGGCCACAUUGGGACUGAGACACGGCCCAGACUCCUACGGGAGGCAGCAGUGGGGAAUAUUGCACAAUGGGGGAAACCCUGAUGCAGCGACGCCGCGUGGAGGAAGAAGGUCUUCGGAUUGUAAACUCCUGUUGUUGAGGAAGAUAAUGACGGUACUUAACAAGGAAGUGACGGCUAACUACGUG
rnacentral:rRNA from 1 species